rnacentral:rRNA from 1 species
UACAGAGGGGGCAAGCGUUGUUCGGAAUUACUGGGCGUAAAGGGCGCGUAGGCGGCCUGCUAAGUCGAACGUGAAAUCCCUCGGCUUAACCGGGGAACUGCGCCUGAUACUGGAUGGCUUGAGUUUGGGAGAGGGAUGCGGAAUUCCAGGUGUAGCGGUGAAAUGCGUAGAUAUCGGGAGGAACACCUGUGGCGAAGGCGACCCCCUGGUUGGAUACUGACGCUGAGACGCGAAAGCGUGGGGAGCAAACAGG